GGGAUUAUUUUUUUGCGUUGGUUAGGGAGCUUUUCUUUUAAGACCUGGUCGUCGUCGGUGGGGUUUAGGUAAGCCGAGCCGAGUAGCUUGAGGAGCUCGUUAGGCCCGCGCUUACCCCCUCGAUGCCGCAGCAAGGCUAAGGUCAGGUGGCCGCCCUCCGCCCCCGCGGCCCCAAGCGCACCCUACGCCCUCGGCUCUCGUCGGCUGGGCCGGUCCGCCGAGAUUGACCGCCGCAGCGAGCUGGAUAGGCUGCCGCGGCCGCUCGGCAAGUACCGCCGCCAGGGCCUCCUGCUGCGCUGCGGGCACCCCGCCGUCAUGCGACGCUUCUCGUCGCUCGGCGGCAGCUGCCAUCGUCGACGUGCCGGAAAACCUAAACCUAAGCCACAGCCACGAACGUCACACACAAGCACCGCCGCUGCGUACCGACAACAAGACUAUUUUGUCUGUUUCAACUCAAAAAGGGUAGGGUAAAGGUAAUAGUCGCAGAAGACUAAAGCAAUUGUAAACGCAACCGUAAUAGACUUAAGACUUGGUUUGUGGAGGAGCACCAGGUGCCGUUCGCUGCGCAAAUGUCUCGCUCCAAAGGGGGGACAGCGUGAGAGGUUAGACUUUCGGACCGUCGGUAAAAAGAAACGCGCACGCCGCUGGAACCCUCUGAAACCUCAGUCCAGAGGACGAAAGAACCGGAUGUUAUAAUGAUGAGGGAACAUCGAUACGCUACCCAACAGGUCAAAGAUCAAAUAGAAGGUUAAGGUAGAGACGUCGGCCUGACCAGACUUCUUGGUGUAUGGGGAGUUAGUCAAAGAACGACCAAAGAACGACCUUCUACACCUUCUACCGGAAAUCCCCGUGAAGAACACAAGGUUAAAACUAGGAGGGUAACGACUCAAGUGAGACGGUUAGGCUACUGGUCGAGUGUCUACGUUUUGGCGAGAGGCGGCCGCUGUACGAGCAGAGGUUCCCGCCCCUGAAACGCGAGCCGAAGAAGAGGGGCUUGUCGAGGUUGUGUUCGAACAUGGAACCGUAUACCAUGUUGUCGUAGGGACCGGCGUGGCAACAUACCUGGCGGUUGGCGCUGAUAGGUUAGCGGCGUUGAAGUAGAGGCUACGAGCGGUAGUGGUUGUUAAGGCUGGACCACAACAGACUGAGGGUUCCAGUGUGAGCAACCCACCACUUCUCGCCGUAGUGCCCGCACCCUCAAUGACGCCACGACGCAAGCAGCCCCUUGAAACAGGAGGUCAGAGGUUUACCGUGUAGGUAUACCGUCUCAAAACUAAUGGGCUGUCUGUGGUAAGAGGGGCCAUACUCCUAGAUGGACUCGUUCUCCCGAGCACAACAGUCUGCGGAUUAACGAACCUUCCCCGGGUAACUGGGUAGGUGACCUCUAAAAAGAAACCCGGAACUGGGGUUUAGCUUGGAAGUCAAGCAGUAAACCGUCCCCUGGUACGGGAUGACGGCGGAGUCAUACGAUUUAUUACUCAGCCAGCCGUCACCGUAUAUGGUCUUGUGUUAGAAGUGGCUUCAACAAUGACCUUGUCCCCUGCCCAAGAUGAUAUUUAAGGAGCAGAUACUCCCAAGUGGAAUAAGUGCGGAAUACGAACUGAUGUACCCGCACAAGUCCAAAGAAUAGACCUUAUUGGCGAGUAGAACCCGCUGGCAGUGGCUCGUGGGGCGAUCGUCGACACUGGAGAUACGAAGUACACCGGGUAAGCCGAUAACGCUGUCGUACCCCUGACAGCGUUGUACGGCAACAGAGCUACCCAAACUUGGGCGACCAGAAUUGAAAAGCUCGCCUACAUCUUCUUGGUUCCGUGACUUUACGCCGUUCGGUUCAGUAAAGCACGGGAACGGAUCCUACUUCCGGGGACUGUUCAAAAAUGUACAGGAGUUGUCUUCGAAACUGCUUACGUGCUGGCUGACGUCGUUGUUAACGAGUACAUGUCGAAUGAGGAUGUGUUUGAACUCGUCAUUGCCGCGAUACCGGCUGGUCAGUUCCACGAACGAAACCUGUCCCCUCGAACAGCUGUGUCCCUUCAUAUCGUUGAUACUGCUAUUGGACAUAGAAGCCGAACGGUUGAGAGGACAAGCUUUAUUAUCGUUUAACCAUUUUUAACAUCAGGGUUGGUACCGAACGCACAACUAUGAGCGUACGGAGGAACAGCCCUAUAAGUUUAUGUCUCGUUCGUUUGCUUUCUUCAUACCUUAGGUGUUACCUCGUUACGAUCCAAUGGAAUCGAGCAGAUUACUCUAACCUCCACUUGUACACCUGAAGGGAAAACAAUCGAAACUUCUAUAAAGGUGACGUUGGUUAUUAAAGAGACUGAGAUUUGUUUAGCCUUCACCUCCAAAGCCGUUUCAAAUGUUCCCUUAGGAAGUUCCCCUGUUACUUCAACGAUAGUUCUCUGAAUCAUUCCCAAGACCCGUUCCCUAUGUCCUCAAGUCUUUACUCUAUUAAGACUAACGGUUUAACGUCGUGUUUUUGGAACAAUCUGAAGAACCAACGACAUAAAAACCCCUACUCUCCAAUGAAUAUAUACUUAUAAAUGGUUUGUUUUCGAACCUGCGGAAGGAAAAACUACUAUGUUCUGUUAUACACGAACUAACCGGAUGUGCGAAGGUUUAUUAAUUUCCCCACCGAUCUCCAGAAGAAAUAGAGGUAGUUCUAAGUUCUAAUUGAUAUUAAGUGUCUCUAGAGUUUGGUUCGUUGUAGAACAACCUAAGGCUUUACUGAGGGUUUUAUAGUCUAAAGCCAUACCGUUCCUAGAAACCACCUUUGUUUGUUCUUCGUUUUUGAUGGGCCCAACAACCCUGUAUACCAAUGUACAGCGGACUUAUACAAUACCCUCCACGGAAAAGACAUUUUAGGCUGUGCAUAUCGAAGCCACAAGAAGAGAACCUCUAACAUUCACCGAACUUCUAGUGGAGUAGCGUUGAUCAUCUCUUGAAACAAUCGGAGUGUUGAAUACGUACCUCUGAUACCCGUCUACCUUUUCGUUGUCUUGACCACGUGAGGAGCAAACGACUCUCAAUAAGUGAAGUACUCCAACAUGCCACAUAAGUUCAGCCAGAGAACACACAAGUUCUGGCAGGCCUACUAUCCGGUGAGUACAGUAGCCAAUGAAAAUACGACCUCUUACUUUCACGCAACGAGGGUCGUGGUUUCGUCGGACGUAAAAAACGAGAUGUCUUAAAGCUUUGACUUCUUAGUUUCCUUUUGAGACACUUACGUCACUCAUAGUGUCGUCAUCUCCCCGCAAUUCGCAAUAUAUACGUUUAAAGUCAUAGACUUCGGCAUUUGAAAUGCUAGAUGUCUAUAAAGCUUACGCUAAAGAAGUCAUUCGGCAACGCAACAUUUGUCUUUCCGACACUUAGCUCUUGUUGAAUUAAGUCUUACGAGAUAAAGUUUGUUUACUAAAAGAACGUAGACGUCAC
rnacentral:rRNA from 1 species